rnacentral:rRNA from 1 species
UGGGGAAUCUUGGGCAAUGGGCGAAAGCCUGACCCAGCGACGCCGCGUGCGGGACGAAGCCCUUCGGGGUGUAAACCGCUUUUCCAGGGGAAGAAUAAGGUGAGGAGGGAAUGCCUCAUCGAUGACGGUACCCUGGGAAUAAGCCACGGCUAACUACGUGCCAGCAGCCGCGGUAAGACGUAGGUGGCGAGCGUUACCCGGAUUCACUGGGCGUAAAGGGCGCGUAGGCGGUUUGGCAAGUCGCCUGUGAAAGCCCCCGGCUCAACUGGGGGAGGUCGGGCGAAACUGCUAGGCUGGAGGACGGCAGAGGAAGGUGGAACGACCGGAGUAGCGGUGAAAUGCGUAGAUACCGGUCGGUAUCCCGAUGGCGAAGGCAACCUUCUGGGUCGUUCCUGACGCUGAGGCGCGAAAGCGUGGGGAGCAAACCG